rnacentral:rRNA from 1 species
UGGGGAAUCUUGCGCAAUGGACGAAAGUCUGACGCAGCCACGCCGCGUGAGUGAAGAAGGCCUUCGGGUUGUAAAGCUCUGUCGGAGGGGACGAAAAUGCUUAGGGUUCACAGCCCUAGGAACUGACGGUACCCUUAAAGGAAGCACCGGCUAACUCUGUGCCAGCAGCCGCGGUAAUACAGAGGGUGCAAGCGUUGCUCGGAAUCAUUGGGCGUAAAGGGCAAGUCGGUGGUCUCAUUUGUCUAGGGUGAAAUCCUUGAGCUUAACUCAAGAAGUGCCCUAGAAACGGUGGGACUAGAGUUCUGGAGAGGGUCGUGGAAUUCCCGGUGUAGCGGUGAAAUGCGUAGAGAUCGGGAGGAACACCAGAGGCGAAGGCGGCGACCUGGACAGACACUGACACUCAACUGCGAAAGCGUGGGGAGCAAACAG